rnacentral:rRNA from 1 species
UACGGGGGGGGCAAGCGUUGUUCGGAAUUACUGGGCGUAAAGGGCUCGUAGGUGGCCAACUAAGUCAGACGUGAAAUCCCUCGGCUUAACCGGGGAACUGCGUCUGAUACUGGAUGGCUUGAGAUUGGGAGAGGGAUGCGGAAUUCCAGGUGUAGCGGUGAAAUGCGUAGAUAUCUGGAGGAACACCGGUGGCGAAGGCGGCAUCCUGGACCAACACUGACACUGAGGCGCGAAAGCUAGGGGAGCAAACGGG